CACGUAGUUAGCCGGGGCUUCUUGGUCGGGUAUCGUCCGCGGCUCUCGCGAACCGUGUUUCUUCCCCGCUGACAGAGCUUUACGCGCCGAAACGCUUCUUCACUCACGCGGCGUCGCUGCAUCAGGGUUUCCCCCAUUGUGCAAUAUUCCCCACUGCUGCCUCCCGUAGGAGUUUGGGCCGUGUCUCAGUCCCAAUGUGGCCGUCCGCCCUCUCAGGCCGGCUACUGAUCGUCGCCUUGGUGGGCCGUUACCCCGCCAACCAGCUAAUCAGACGCGGGUCCAUCCCGUACCACCGGAGUUUUCAAGAAGGACAUGCGUCCCCUUCUGUUAUGCGGUAUUAGCACCUGUUUCCAGGUGUUAUCCCCCGGUAGGGGCAGGUUCCCCACGCGUUACUCACCCGUCCGCCACUAAGGCCCGCGCCCUUCCGGGUCUGGUAAACCAUCCCCCUUCCGCCGCUGGCCCCCGUUCGACUUGCAUGUGUUAGGCACGCCGCCAGCGUUCAUCCUGAGCCAGGAUCAAACUCU
rnacentral:rRNA from 1 species